UUCCCCGGGCCUCACCUUCCCUCAGACCCCGGGUGCGCCCUCCCGGCCGAGCAGCCAAGCCUUUCCCACCUCUGUUCGCUAGCGACAAGCUCGGAACGGCUCGGGCAGCCCGAGCAGGGCCAGCUCUGAAGUGACCCUGGACCCCCUCUGACGAGGGCGCCCACCUGGUUACCCCCGUAAGGCCGCCGAACCGGAACCGGAGCCACACAGCCUUCUAUCAACUCAACUUUACUUUCAUCAUUUUUUUUUAACACAGUUUUUUUUCUAACUUGAGUGGCAAACAUGCAGUUAAGCUUAAAUGAACAUGUGAGCAUAGAUGUUACCUUAUACAAAGAAUUCAUUCACAAAGAAAUGAGAUUAAAAUCUAAUAGUAGAUUCUUGGGCAAAAUUUGGUCACCUAGAUGUAGAGACAGUUGAAAUCAAAGAGUGUUUUGUAUGUAUGUGCCCAUAUAUAUUUGGAGGGGGGAAAAGUCAAGUCCAAGGAGAAAAGGUUGGUACCUUUCACCACUGCACUGUCUCAGUUUACCUGGAACAUUAAACCACCGAAGUAUCAAAUGUGGAAGUGAGCUGGAUCAGUUAAAUGCAACCUUUCACUGUCACUGAAGGGAACAUUACAGCAUCACUGCACCAUUAUCAGAAAGGGAAGGUUAAAAAAAAAUAUAAAACUGGUCAUCAUCUUAAACACACAUGUACUGAAUAAAGCACUAACUUUAUUUUAUUUCCUCUCCAACCCCUAUUUUGAGUCUGUGAAGGGAGAAAAUGUUUGCUGCAGAGGAAGCCAUUUCCAAAAUCCACUAUAGGUGAACAGCAGUGGUCUAACAGUGCAAAUAGAGAGUAAAUUGUGCAGGGGUUUGAUGCCACCCACCAGCAAUGACAGAACUCCUUGCAGGCUACACAAAUCAAGGCAGAAUGAUGAUUUGCUUCAAAAUGAGGGGAUAAAAACACAAUGUUCACUAAAUCUAAGGAUACUGAUCACUGAUUUAAGUCUCUUUAGGGCAGGAAUGGUGAUAACAGGCGUGAAUGGGAUUAAUCAUUUCAGUCAGGCCUCCAAAGGCCAUCACUGGACCAACAUUGUUCAGUAUGCACAAUCCAUGCUCUCUUUGACUUCAAGUGGUGGACAAGGAUAGGAUUUAUUCUGAGAAUUUCCCAUAAUACGGUAUGUAUCUUGUGUAAAAUUCCUCCGUAAUUAUAGGUCCAGAAAUAAAACAAUCUCAGAGCCAGCAAAGGUUCCAAUAAGGAAGCAAUCCUAAUGUUGUUGACCAGCCAAUAGUGACUGACACCUGCUGGGUACUCACCUGCCUCUUGGCAUGAGCUGCUGCAAACAGCAGAGGCUGGUUCAGCCCUGCUAGAAAUUUCACCUCCAUCACUGCUGUGUUUAGCUGGCCAUCUUCCAUAGCACUAGAAAGUAUAGAAGUAUAGAUAUGGAAGUCAGAAGCCUCUUUUACACACAUAUCCACUUUAAUGUGCCACAACCAUCUUAUUCUUCUAUCCAAUAAUUUUUUUUCAGCUGUUUUUAUUCCUCCCCAGCUGCUGUCAUUCCAAGGUGUAAAUGAAAUGAUGAGUGGGUGUUUCUCCUCUCACGCACAUAAGUGACUUUGGACAACUUGGGUGGCAGCACUGACAAACUUGAAGUGAGCAUGCACCUCUUCUUUCCUCUCUCAUGUGAGAGAGGAAAAUAACGCCUGGGAGUGAACAUCUGAAAGUUCACUGAAGCACUUAAUAAAGACGACAUUUCAAAAUUGCAGUAAGAUGCAACAGCAACAUCUACCAACAGCUGCCUCUUAGGAUCUUACCAAACCUUGCUCUUGCCAGAAGAUUCUCUGGGAUAGAACUUCAUAUUUAUCAAAAUACUACUCAUUUAAUGAGAAAGUUGGAGACAAAGAAUAAGAGAUCCCUGAGGUGCAACACUGGAUGCUUCAUGGCAGAGGGUGGUGGAAUUGGCCUCCACCUGCAUGUCACUGCCUCUUCUAUGACAGUGUCUAGCCAACAAUCACUUCCAUCAAAACAGCCUUUCUCAGUGCUGCAGGGAGAAAAUGCAUUGCACAGAAGGGAAAGCAGAUCAGACUUUGCAAUACUUUCCAAAAUACCAUCCAUUUGCCUCGACUAGUGCUGGCCACAGGGGACAGAAGCUUGUCAGAUAGUGGGAAGCAAGGAGAGACACACAGAGAUGUUACACAGGAUGUGCAGAAGUCACCAAGGAAAACAGAACUCUCCUCAUUACCUGUGAAGAGGUAACAAACACCCAGCUGGCUGCAAAGUGAGCAGCAGGGCUCUGACAGAUGUGCUGAAUGCUGCUGUGGGACCUCAUGGCUGCACUCCAGGUGGCCUCAGGGCUGUUGUGCCUCUUUCUGCUCCAACACAGGUCUGGAAGAGAUAGAGCAAAGGCUGAUGUGGCUCAUCAGGAGGAUUUAGGAGAUCUGCCAGUAGGAUACCCUAUAUCCUCCUCAAACACUAUUGAGCUGCUCAUAGCUGUUGGUUGAUUUAUUUGAACAGAUACAUACAUAGAUAAACUUACACAUUUUUACCAACUUGAAAAAAAGUUGCAUAAAACCUGGGAAUUAGCAUUAGUAAUGGAAUAUCAACCUUUUUACUAUUGCUAAUCAGUUUUUUUAAGUUUAUGAUCCUUGGACACAGAGAGACCCUGAACUGGGGCAAAGGAGAAGCUACAAGUACAGUAUACUCCAUGAUUUUCUGUGGUUUGUAUUCUGUAAAUACUUGCACUUGUGCUCUGACAAUAGUAUUAAUCUGGGCAAGUGAAAAUUGUCAUCAUCAGUGCUUAGAGACAAGCAAGCUGAGAAGUCAAAAAAAAUAAAAAAAGUAGUUCUAUUUAUGGGAGGAACACCUGUGGGUAUGACAGAUGUCUAUGUCAUGGCUUCUAUCCAUGGAGCCAAAUAGCACUGCAGAGGUGAUUUUGCAGCCUUACAGUCUUGGGAAUAACUUUAAGAGAACUUGUAACUAUUUGUCCUUGCUUUAGAUAUUUUUCUCCUCAGAGUUUUCAAGAUAAUGCUCAGAAACUGACAAUCACAUUUACAUCAUCUUACAGAAACUAUAAUUUCUGCCAUGAUUUUGCUUGUUGCUUCCAAAUAUGUCAAAUCCCCUGCAUGCUACUUGUUUCUAAACAGGCAAUGUGCAAGAUUUUAGUCAAUUUCAAUGCACCUUUUUGGUAUUUGAAUCCAGGUGCAUAACAACUAAAAACUCAUGCAUACUGAAACCAGUUGAAAACUGGUAUGAAGGCUGAAGCCUACAGUGUCCAUUUGUUUCUUCACACAGUUUGCUAUGUCCUAAGACUUCAGAUUUUCCAGCUUCAACAUCUUUUGUGUUGAACUCUAUAAAAUAAGCUAAAGAAUUAUAUUUUAUCUCAGCAUUUUUGCUGAACUGGAAUACGUGUGAAAAUUUCUCUUCUCCUAAAAAAAGGCACUGUAGAAGGGGUGUAUUUUUCUGUAUGUAAGAAACACCACUAUGCCUAUAGUUCACUUACAAUAAUAAAAUGGAUGGACAGGUUCUCAGUGAGCAUUCAUAAUAUGGUGUUCACACUGAUAUAGAUAGAAAUCCUGGGAAAUAGAGAUAAGAUUUUUAUCUGAGAAAAUAGUUUAUUUUCAUUUAAAGAAUCUUACUUGCUCUUACCGGGAUUUAUAAGAGUAUUUAUUUUUCAGUAUACAUGAUCUUUAUCUUACCUGUCAAGUUCUCCUUACUGCCUGAAAUAAAACCAGUGCCUUCCUAGUGGCUGGACUGUGGUCUACAAACCAAGACAAAUCCUAAUAAUACCUGUUAAAAUGUCUCUCCACAUUUCUCUGGGAUGAAUCAGAAUUGAUGUGUGCAGUAAGUACUUUGUUAUGCAUUGUCCCCCCUUCUGCCUAGGCUGAAUCCUGGUUACUUCUGCCAGGAGAGUCCUGCUUUUCAGCACUUCUCUUCUACAGGUCCAUUUGCAACUUUGUGAAAUGUUAUGGAUUUUUUUCCUCAAGACCAUUCCAGUUGAGUGUUGGCUCAUGCAAACUCCUUGGAAGGGUAUCCCAGCUUCUCUCUGAAUAGUGAACAUCCCAGCCCAUUUUCCCCUGAAAUUUGCUGGGAUAUAGCUUUGAGUCUAACUAAAUACUCAUCAGCCUCCAAUGGAUCAUUAAGCUAAACUAUUCUGUCUAUUUUAAGGUAUUAGAAAACAAAACACUGUGAUUUUUAAGCCAUGAAACAAACCAGUUCCAAAGUAAAUAAAUAACUCAAGGGUUUUGAACUGCAAACAUCACAUGCAAAAGAGAGGACUAUGCUGUCUUUCUGUUAGUGGUGUCAUUUUAAUAUAACUCUUCCUUGUCACAAGAUCUUUCAUGAAAACAGUCCUUUACUCAAAUAGCAUUAUCUGAGGGAGGAUGAAGUUAAAGAGCUGUGACGGAGUGAAGGAAAAAAUUUAAAAAGUUGUAUUAUCAAAAGGAAUCUCAAAAUUAUCAAAAGUGUGACUCAUUCAGUUAUUUCAUGCCAGUAUAAGCCCAUAUUUGCACCAUAUUUUUAUUGAUUUUCAUCAUAUGAAAAUAAUGCUUAAUUUUGAGUUUAAUGUGUUCUGUAUAAAGACAGAAAGAUAUUUAGAAGUAUAAUUGUAAUCAUCUGCCUAUAGCACAGAAUAUUAUACCUGGAUGAAUUUUAUUGCCUUUCUUCAUGGUAUUCUGAAGCAGCAGCAGAAAUUUGGAGAUACUGCAGUCUUCCAAGGAAGAAAUAGAAUAGAUGAAGCAGAUGACUGUCAUAUCCUGGACAGUGAGGUGGUUUUUUUUUUUGAUUAAGCACAAUUUAAUUAACUUUUGGGUUACUUGUGUAGCAGUGGCUGUUCAGUAUGGUGAGGGGAAAUGUUGCACUUAAAAUUAUUAUACACCAGGGUAUAAUAAGGGGUUGGAAAGAAAAAUGUCUGGAAAUCAAGAAGGAUGAGAGUUACUAUUCCUCUUGCAGCUUUACUGUGGUGUGCUUAUUGCACACUCUCUUGUGCGUGGUGGCAUGUGUUUAUAGGCAGUGCUCUGCCCAGGACCUUCCUCCUUCAGAUCAUGGGAUGAACCUGCUUGCAGAGUGAACCAAGGCCGUGCAAGUUGCUAAACCAACUCCUGUGUCUGUUGUAGGAACUGGAAAGCACUCAGCAGAUGAGUCAGAAAAGAUGAGCUCAUGGCUCAAGCAGAUUAAUGCUGCAGGGGAUACACUUUUUCUGUCACUGCCUCAGCCUCAGAAGACUGUGAAGGGCUACAAGUCACCUCCUGUAACUCUUUGCACUAGUAAGCUGCAUUUGAUGAAAUCCACGGUUGGAUUUGUCUGAGCACUGAGCUGCAAAGGGUGCUUGCCCACAGCAAUGACUGCUCUCAAAACCUCAGGCUAGUCCUUGUGGCCCAGCUGCUCCAUCCCACUGGAACAGGUAACAGCGGGUAAAAGUGAGCAGAGGCCCCUUCGUAUUCGGGAUUGCCCUCCCACAUGUUUCAUCAGGCUAAUACUGUAAACAUGAAAAUCAUAGAGCUUAAUGGUUUAGAGCUCUCUAAUGCCACAGAAAUACGAAUUUCCACUUUGGAGGCACUGGUAUGUGCAGUAUGGAGGAGCUGCCAGAGUUGCUAACUAUUUUGCUUUGCCCCAAAACACACCAAGCUCUAAUCUAGACUGGAGCCAGCAGUAGAACAAAAACCACCCUGAAGAUGCCUGAAGAUGGUUUUGCAGCAUCAGUAGCCUUUGUGCUGAAAAAAAAAAAAAAAAAAAAAAAAAGCAUUCAGAUAGUAUUACUAAUCAAAAGUAUUAUUUUUUGCAAAGCAAACACCAUCCCUACAGGAAGCCUUGACUUUGUGUCAGACCAUUAAAUUGCAAUAUUGUGUUGCCUAUGGACACCUUAGUGUAGCUUUCAUUUAAAUGGUAUUUUCGGUGGAAAUAGAUUGUACAACCACAAAUGGCAUACAGAUUCUCAGGCUGAGUGAUCACCUGGCAAACUCAUGUCAGAUACCACCUUUUAUUCCAUGAUCCCCUGAUCCAUACAAAGCUCUCUGCUGAUCUCCACUGUCUUCAGUGGGUUUGUUUGUAUAAACUGUAAGUCAAACUGGCAUCUGGAUAAACAUAAACUGCAUUUGAAGCUUUUUGGCCAGCCUUAACCUGAAUACCAAAGAAAGAUUAUGCCUCCAUAUGUAAGUUUUUUUUAGUACUGCUCUCCCCUAAGUCUUUUUGAGACUGUGCAUUCUCCAGCAAUCCUGAAUAAAAUCCUUCACAUUUCCAAGACCAACAGAUCUUUUAAGACAAUGCAAGGCAACGAUCUUAUUUUAAAGACAAGCAAAGGGAGGAAGAUAUGAAAGCUGUCUAAAAAUCUGGUUUAGCAAAUGGAGUUCACAGUCCCUACUUAUCUCUUUGGACCUAAGUAUCUAAUGUGAGCAUUUUCAUUCUGCUUUAAUUCAGAAAAAAGUGUUCAUUUAAAAAAAAAUGAACUGUAAAUACAAAGAUAUUGAGUCCACGAUUAUGAUACUGACAACAUUAUUUUUGUAAUAAUCACAAUAGAUUUAUGGAAUAUUUUUUUGUAGCACAACAGUCCUCUGUUUCAAAUCACUGAAAAUUUCAGGCAAGACUAGCUUAACUGUUUUACUGCUGAUGAAACUAAGUUAACUGUCCAAAGUCUAUGCUGCUGAAGAAUGGUCUAGCAAAGGGAUAGAGCUCUAAAACCCACAGACACUGCAGUCUACCACUUGUGAAAUACUUACCAGUAAUAUUCAUUCAUGGGAAAAGCAGAAAUCUGAGAUACAACAUUUGUUUCACUUCUGUCUGUCCACAAAAAAGCUAGAAAUUAUAUUACAGUUUUUAAGUCCAUUUCAAAUGCAAUCACUUUAAUUCAAUAAGCACCUUUAUAAAAAAAAAAUUUCUGCUAAAGCUACGUGAUUCUUGAAUAAAAUUUUAUAUGUAAUAUUAACAGAAAUCUUUACAGAUAUUUGGCUGUCAAUAUUUUUUUUGUUUCAGAAGGUGAAAAUUCACCAUGAGGGCCACUUGUAUUGCUAGCAAUUAGUCUUUCUAGCAAUUGAUGUAGUAUAUAAGUUGUUUUCUUUUAUUUCAAGUUCAUGCAGUAUCUUGGUUGUCCAUUCACUGCAUGUUUGAUAAUCUUAAGAGAAAAGUAUAACCAAAGUGUAACACUGCAGCAGUAGUUUUGAUUCUCUGAAUGUCCACAUAUCAUCAGCCUGUCUGAACUACCCCAUAUUUCUGGAGGAUGACCUCCCAUGUUACCUACCUGCAAGAGAAAGUAACAUUAUAAUGUUUGAGCCCCUCUGCUGCAAAUUUAUGCACAAGACUGGACACUUCAACUCUAAUUUUCACUAAAGGAGAGAGAAUUUUCCAGAUACAUCCAUUCCAUUACAAGCUCAGCUGGGAUUUGAUUGUACCAAACAACAGAAGGCCCAUUGCUAACAGUUUGUAGCUGUUUAGGGCUGGCAAGAAAAGGAUCAUAGACUCUGCAAAGAGAAUAUUCACGUGGAUGGCUACCGCAACAAAGCCAUGGCAAGCUCUGAAAGGAGUGUGAGAAAAAGCUAUUUUGACUUUUGUAAAGGUAAUGGCCAAAAAAACCCCAAAAAUACCCUAGAAAAUGUACAACCAGCAAGAAGGCAACAACCAACAUAAUGCUGCACGUUUGCACUCUGAAAUAACAGUGCAACUCACUAGAGUAGAAAUUCCAGGUACAGCAGAACAGCACUUGCUGUAUUUUCAGCUAAGGAAACAACUGCAGCAUCAAAUUUACCAGAGAAGCCUUAGCGUUCUGUUCCAGGGACUGCAGGAUCAUGUCCAGGGAGGCUACAGUUGCUGGUGACCAGCAUGAGAAUUCAACAAGACCCGUCUCUUGUUGAAUUCUUGUUUAAUCUCAGGAAAAAAAAUCCUGUUUAAAGCUCAGGAAACCAUUUAUUCAGCUUAAAUCAGAGACAGAGCCCAGAACAAAGGCAGGGUGGGGGUUUUAUGAAGCAGAGCCAGGGUGGAGUUUAAGGUUGGGCACUAAUUGGGACAGAGCAAGGGAGAAACCUCAGGGGCACAAACCCAACCAGAACACCCUGGACUGCCACCCCAAGAGGGCCCUGGGUGGGACAACUCUUCCCAGGCUCACAGGACACAUCCCCUGAGGCAGAGGGUGGAAUCCACUCUUCCUGGGCUUUAAAACCACAUCUCUCCCUUUAACAAUGCUUACCUGACUCUAAAUCUUUGCCUCCCUGGGCAGAGGCACCUUGCAUGAAGCAAAGCUAAAGCACCGAGGUGUUGUUUUGCCACACACUGAUAGGGAAGCUAGGCUUGGCAGGAGGUUUUGGUCAAGGCUGUGAUGAGUAGUGAGUCCAGUCAAUAGGUUUUUGAUUACUCCCUUGCCCCCAAUUCAGGGUCCUGAAGUGCAAGAUAAAAAAUAAGAUUUCACAGGGAUUCCUGGCACACAGACUUCACUCUGUUGGUUAGGUUUCUCUACAAGACAUCACACAGUUACAUUGAACUAGUUUGUCUUGGCUUGAGAUCUUCUGCAAAACUCCUCAAGAUUCUUCAGGACUCAGGAUUCAGGUGGCUUAGACUGUUAGGUUUUGCUCUCCCACAGGUGUAUACAGCUGCUGAUGCUAGAGGCAAGAGUAGGACAAAGGAGGCUGAAGAUCUGAAAUUUGGCAGGCAAUGAUUGCCUCUGGUGGAGAUUAGAGCCAGUUUGUGCAGAAACACUUUAUCUGAACGGUAUUUAUUUGUGCACUGUGGGUGCUAAUACAACUCAGACCUAUCUUCACCAGCUGCAUGAAGGUCUGCAGAGACUCUUAGGAAGUUUCUUAUUCUCUCAAAGCAAUUCCCAUUAAUUUCUAUACAAGAUCCAAAGUGAUAUCAUGGGCAGGUCACAGAUUAAAUAUGCAAAUGAUAACUGUAGCUUCCCAUUAGUGAAACACUUUUACAGAGAUGCCUUGCAAAUUUAGACAAAGUUCAGUGUAUUCAAGCCUGAUCAGAGAUCACAGUGAGUGAGAAUAGUCAGCAUUUUAAAAUCAAUUGCAGCUUUCAUGAGCUAGGUGCAAUUUUCAGAGCAAUCACAUCAAUUCUGCAGAUAAUCAUUCUGCAAGAAACGAAUAUAAAUUGUAUGAUACCAAAGAGAGAGAAAAAGCCAAUUCCUUUUAAGUUCACAUGAUUGUAAGUGAAAGACAGCAAGAACCAUCAGGGAGACACUUUUCACAGAAGUUCAGAUAUCAGGUAUUUAAUUAGACUCAGAUCAUAUGUAUGUGACUGAAAAUGUGUCAUGCAUAGGAAGAACUUCCACAAGAGACUAGGCUGAUAAUCUGUACUUUAAGAAAAUCUGUAGAGAAAUCAUCCUGGCCACAAAUAAUCACAAACUGACUGCUGCAGACCUGCAUAAAGGAUAAUUUGCGCAUAAAACAUCUUAAAAUAUACAUUCAAUGAGGCUGUAGUUUCUAUAUGACAAAAAAACCUCUCUGGCAGACCUUGCCCAUCAGAGAUGUGCAAUUUACAUUUAAUAAAAACAACCUACAAUAAGUUUUUGGGUUGCUUGGUUUUAUUUUCCAUCCAUCUGACUAAGAUGAAGUACAUGUCACAUUUAGGAUCUAUACUAGUACAUUUUGGCAACAAAUUUUUAGAGCUAUAUUAACAGCUAUAGGUUUUAAAGUUGCUUGACUUCUUGUGCCAAGAAGAGAGAGUGAUGGGUUGAUCAUGGGAAAGAUGUUGGUACCAGGGAGAGUUAAAUGUAUGUAAGUAAUCCCAUUUCCAUAUAAAUGAGAUACCAGAUAGAGAACACACUUGCAUUUCUUCUUUAUCCAGUUGUUACAGAAUCUACUAACAUGUCUCUGGGGACUUCUAUUCAGCCACCAGCCUGCAGGAGAAUAAACAAACCCAGAUUUUCAUCUGUAUGAUUUGAGUACACAGUUCCAAAAAAGACUGUAAACAAGAGCUCUUUAUGACCCAAACGUAUUUCUGAAAAUGCUACUUGAUGAAGUUUACAAAUUUUCUUGUGCUUUUCUGUACUAACAUUUCUCCUGGCCUCCAAUGCUUCUCAUGAAUCCCUGAAAUGCAGGUAUAGGAGGUAUAGUGAAACAAUUCAUCUAGAAGAAUGAUAGCUUAGCUUAGUCCAGAAAUGAACCUGACUUACGUUUGAACAAGACCGAGAAUUAAAGGACAGACUUUGGAGACUCUGCUUUAAGCUGGAGAGAUAAAUUAUUUUUAUACUUGGAUGUUCCUGUUCACAUUAUUCUUGAUGUCAUUAGUUUAGCAACUUAAUAUUUGAACAAUCAUGAGAUAAGAAUAGGAUUUCAGAAUUGCUUCACAUCUAUAUCAGUAAAUUACAGGCUAAGUUGCAGAAGUUCUCUAACUUCCAGUUUGUCAGGAAAUAGAGAUGUGAUAGUUUAUCAUUAAACCACCAGAGAUGUUUGGUUUUUUUUCUCUGUGUGAACUUUUCUCCCUAAGUAGUCAAAUUCCUUUCAUAUUCACAUACCUGUGGACCAUGAUCAAGUUACCUCUUAACCUCAACUGCAACAAGCAAACAGAUUAAAUUUUAUAUCUUUUUCCUGACAUUUUAAAUUUUUUCUUAAACUCUUUUGAGCAAAGAAUAGUACAAAAGAAUUUUAGCUCUAGAGCAAGUUGUUUUAUUCCUGCAGAGGUGGUAUUAAUAACCUGUACAGAAAGAGCAUAUUCUUUCUGCUCAUGCAAUAUUGCUCUGCUUAUACAUCCUUUGGUCCAAGACCAGGCAGUUUCUUUAUUGUCACAAACAGGUAUUUGAAAUGUGCUACAAUGCACAUCAGACCAGUGUACUGUGUGAUUCCCCUUCCUUCAGGUGACAAAAUACAAAUCCACAAUUUAAUCAGAUUUCAGUCCCUCUUUUUGUCCUU